ACGGAAUAGAUACCCUGGUAGUCCUAGCCGUAAACGGUGCACGUUUGCUGUAAAAGGAAUCGACCCCUUUUGUGGCGUAGCUAAACGCGUUAAAAACGUGCCGCCUGGGAAGUACGGUCGCAAGAUUAAAACUCAAAGAAAUUGACGGGGCCUGCACAAGCGGUGGAGUAUGUGGCUCAAUUCGAUGCAACGCGAAGAACCUUACCUGGCCUUGACAUGCAUAUAGUAGAAGGGUGAAAGCCUGACGAGGUAGCAAUACCAGUAUGCACAGGUGCUGCAUGGCUGUCGUCAGCUCGUGUCGUGAGAUGUUGGGUUAAGUCCCGCAACGAGCGCAGCCCCUGUGUCCUGUUGCCCCUCCCGCGCAAGCGGGAAGCACUCUGGACAGACUGCCUCGCUUCAACGAGGAGGAAGGUGGGGAUGACGUCAAGUCAGUAUGGUCCUUACGGCCAGGGCUGCACACGUACUACAAUGCCCGGCACAAAGGGAAGCGAGACCGCAAGGUGGAGCAAAUCCCCAAAAACCGGG
rnacentral:rRNA from 1 species